GACGAACGCNGGCGGCGUGCUUAACACAUGCAAGUCGAACGGAGCGAAUGAAAGCUUGCUUUUAUAAGCUUAGUGGCAAACGGGUGAGUAACACGUAGACAACCUGCCGACAGGAUGGGGACAACAUACCGAAAGGAAUGCUAAUACCGAAUGAAGUGCAGGGGAGGCAUCUCCCCUGCAUGAAAGAUGGCCUCUUUUUAUGCUAUCACCUGUUGAUGGGUCUGCGUCUGAUUAGCUGGUAGGUGAGGUAACGGCUCACCUAGGCGACGAUCAGUAGCCGGUCUGAGAGGAUGAACGGCCACAUUGGGACUGAGACACGGCCCAGACUCCUACGGGAGGCAGCAGUGGGGAAUCUUCCGCAAUGGGCGCAAGCCUGACGGAGCAACGCCGCGUGAGUGAAGAAGGUCUUCGGAUCGUAAAGCUCUGUUGAUGGGGACGAACGUGCCUAAUGCGAAUAGUAUUAGGUAANGACG
rnacentral:rRNA from 1 species